rnacentral:tRNA from 1 species
GAGGCGACUGGGGGGGAUUUCACGCAGCGGGUCGGUCCCGAUGCGGUCCGGGCCGUGUCGGAUCGUGUUGCCGUACGGGUCGGCGGGUGCCUCA